GACGAACGCUGGCGGCGUGCCUAAUACAUGCAAGUAGAACGCUGAAGAGAGGAGCUUGCUCUUCUUGGAUGAGUUGCGAACGGGUGAGUAACGCGUAGGUAACCUGCCUUGUAGCGGGGGAUAACUAUUGGAAACGAUAGCUAAUACCGCAUAACAAUGGAUGACCCAUGUCAUUUAUUUGAAAGGGGCAAAUGCUCCACUACAAGAUGGACCUGCGUUGUAUUAGCUAGUAGGUGAGGUAACGGCUCACCUAGGCGACGAUACAUAGCCGACCUGAGAGGGUGAUCGGCCACACUGGGACUGAGACACGGCCCAGACUCCUACGGGAGGCAGCAGUAGGGAAUCGUCGGCAAUGGGGGCAACCCUGACCGAGCAACGCCGCGUGAGUGAAGAAGGUUUUCGGAUCGUAAAGCUCUGUUGUAAGUCAAGAACGAGUGUGAGAGUGGAAAGUUCACACUGUGACGGUAGCUUACCAGAAAGGGACGGCUAACUACGUG
rnacentral:rRNA from 1 species